GCAAGUCGAACGCUUCUUUUUCCACCGGAGCUUGCUCCACCGGAAAAAGAGGAGUGGCGAACGGGUGAGUAACACGUGGGUAACCUGCCCAUCAGAAGGGGAUAACACUUGGAAACAGGUGCUAAUACCGUAUAACAAUCGAAACCGCAUGGUUUUGAUUUGAAAGGCGCUUUCGGGUGUCGCUGAUGGAUGGACCCGCGGUGCAUUAGCUAGUUGGUGAGGUAACGGCUCACCAAGGCCACGAUGCAUAGCCGACCUGAGAGGGUGAUCGGCCACAUUGGGACUGAGACACGGCCCAAACUCCUACGGGAGGCAGCAGUAGGGAAUCUUCGGCAAUGGACGAAAGUCUGACCGAGCAACGCCGCGUGAGUGAAGAAGGUUUUCGGAUCGUAAAACUCUGUUGUUAGAGAAGAACAAGGAUGAGAGUAACUGUUCAUCCCUUGACGGUAUCUAACCAGAAAGCCACGGCUAACUACGUGCCAGCAGCCGCGGUAAUACGUAGGUGGCAAGCGUUGUCCGGAUUUAUUGGGCGUAAAGCGAGCGCAGGCGGUUUCUUAAGUCUGAUGUGAAAGCCCCCGGCUCAACCGGGGAGGGUCAUUGGAAACUGGGAGACUUGAGUGCAGAAGAGGAGAGUGGAAUUCCAUGUGUAGCGGUGAAAUGCGUAGAUAUAUGGAGGAACACCAGUGGCGAAGGCGGCUCUCUGGUCUGUAACUGACGCUGAGGCUCGAAAGCGUGGGGAGCAAACAGGAUUAGAUACC
rnacentral:rRNA from 1 species